ensembl:snRNA U6 U6 spliceosomal RNA
GUGCUUGCUUUGGCAGCACAUAUACAAAAACUGGAACAAUACAGAGAUUAGCAUGGCCCCUGUGUAAGGGUGCAAAUUCAUGAAGCAUUCCACGCUUUU